rnacentral:rRNA from 1 species
AGUAAAUUUUAUGGUCAAGCUACUAAGGGCGCAUGGUGGAUGCCUUGGCAGAAGCAGGCGAUGAAGG